AAAAGUCUCAAGAAUAUUUGUGAGAUUGUUGAAUGAGUACGUUAUGUGUAUUUUUAAUUAAAAAGUUUCACAAAAUUCACUCCUUAAAAGAAUUCAUUAAAAUCUGUAUAGACAUUUUACAAGUUAGUCGAAGUCUCAUUUGAAUACCACCAAAUUUCGUUCCCUGCAAUAAAGCUUUGAUUGUUUUGAUUGAACACCAUAAGAUUUAUUUAUAUUUUAUAAAAGUUUUAAUUGAAUAUCUCAAGACCUUUUUAUUUUUAAAAAUUCUUUUAUAAUCCCAUGAAAUCUCAAUUGAAUACACCAACGAAAGUUGCCCUCACAACCGUUCACAUAAGUUAUCUUCUUAUCAAUUGAGUCAACCUUCAUUAAAGAAAAAUAAAAUAUUUUAAAAUAGUACAAACAAAAUUCAUUGCAUCAAAGAGUAAAAAAUAAAAUCGUUAAAUAAAUUAAUUUUUUUCAUUAAAUUAAAUUGACAUUUAUACUAUAUAUACAAAGAAAAAUAUCCUUUCAGCACUUUUGGGUUGACUUUUUCUUUUCAAACAUACCCUCAAUUUUCAAUACAAAUAACACAUGUAACUUUUAAAUAUUAAAACAAAUAACAAACACGAUAUGAAAAAAUAUAUUUUUUUGUUUUUUUUCCUUUUUUUUUUUUGGUGAUGUCCGGUCCUCCGGGGUUCAAACCUCAGACCUUGCAUAUAUUAUGCAUUGUCCUUACCAACUGAGUUAAGCUCACAAAGGACUUGUCUUCCUUUAUCAUUUAAAAAGUGUAACAAACUAGAUGACUAUAUUUAUACUUACUUUUUCAUCAUUCCAAUUAUACCCUCAGUUACGAUGGGUGAAAUUGCUCGGAGGGGCUUUUAGACGAGAUAAAGGUUUUAUUGAGGGGUUAGCCAUGAAGAGAGCUUACAGGGCUGCUAAUUAAUACAUCUUCUUCCUCAGUUACGGAAUCCUCAGAGUUAGCUUCUUCUACUUCGAUCGUGCAUGGGUAUUGCCAAUCUUUUCUUUGGCUUAAGGACGUGCCAACCGAUUCACAUGGAGGAGGUGGCUAUGGUGUUUGAUAAAAAGUUGCGUGAAGCGGUUGAGGACAUUGUGGUUGGUGGAGGUCCUUUCUUUGGGGACCUUCAAUGGAUGUUGGCAUCUUUACCUAUUAGGUUUGGAGGGUUGAGUUUGUACUAAACAUUAUAGGCUUCCUCGUACACUUUUGUGGCUUCUAAGGCACAGUCUUGGGUCAUACAAGAUCAAAUUUUGAGAGACAGUGGGUUAUGUGGCAUGGACUUGGAUUUUGAUAAUGCUUUGGAUGGUCUUCGUGGUACGAUUCUAGAUUUUGAUGUUAGCAGUUUUACUAGCAAUGACACCAUCCCUCCUAAAGCACAACAUGUUUUUGCGAGUGCUCUUUUUAGUAAAAAUGUCAGGAUAUGGAAAUUAAGUUUGACAUGACCACGAGACAGAAGGCAAUUUUUGGAUGUUUGCAAGCAGAACAUGCUCAAGAUUUUCUUCUAGCUAUCCCGAUUGAUUGGUUAGGUCAACAUAUGUCACCAGUGGAGUAUCAUACUAUCCUUAGAUAUCGCCUUAUGAUUCCAUUAUUUCCUAAUGAUGUGGUGUGCCCUGUUUGCCGUAAUGUGUGACUGAAUACUUUUAGGGAGCAUGUCGUUCAUUGUAAUGAGUUUCCCGGAUUUAAGUACAUACAUGACUUUGUUAGGGAUGUACCUUUUGAUAUAUUUAGACGUGCGAGAAUAUCAGUGAAGAAGGAGGCGUCUGUGAACUUCCUGACUAACCCACUAGAUAGAAGAUCAACACUCAGGCCUGCAGAUGUUAUGGUGUACAGAUGGGUAGGUGGAAAACAUGCUUGUGUAGACUUGACUGGGGUUUCACUACUUGUGGGAUUAGGUGUCGGACCUUUUACCGUAGGAUAGGCAGCUCUAAAAUCCGCGUCAAACAAAGUGGCCAAACAUGAGAAAGUGUGUUCUGACAAUCAACAGGUUUUUAUACCAUUUGCUUUUGACACUUUCGGUUUCCUAGCACCAGAGGCGGUUGACCUUCUACAUAGAGUUCAAAAGGUCAUGCAUAGCAAUGUCAUGUCCUCUAAGUCCAUGAAUGUUGUGCUCAUGAGGAUUGAUUUUUCCAUCCAAAAAGGUCUAGCGGCGGAGCUUGUUGUCCGCUUGUCUUCUAUUUAAGUGUAAAUAAUGGUUUAUAUAUAUAAUAAACAAAAUUUUCCAACUGAUUAUACCUCUUAAACAACUUUUUCUAUAAUAAAAUUGUUGUUGGUGUCAUUAAAAAAGAAUUUAGAUUAUAUUAUUUUUGUUAUAUUGUAUUAUUGUCGGUGUCGUUGAAAUAGAUAACGAUGGUUAGUUUGAUUUUUUAUAAUUUGAAAGUAACUAACAUUUAUAUUCUUUUUAGUUUUAAUCAAAAUCAAAAUUUCAUAAAAAAAAAAAAAUUCGUUCAUAAUUUUCAAUAGUUGGCACAGAACGGAAAAAUCCGAGUGCCCGUUUUUUCACUGGUCAACGUUAAACAAAAAAAAAAAUUGUGCUAACGAGGAGGCCCACUAACCUGAAAUGAACGCUAGUAAUCCACUAACCGGGCCUUCUUCUAUAUAAUGUGGGGUCAUCAAAAUCAAUCCAACCCAUUUCUCUUUCUCUUACAGAACGACAACGCUCUUCGAUUCGAUUCUCAUCACUUUC
rnacentral:lncRNA from 1 species